GGGGAAUUUUCCGCAAUGGGCGAAAGCCUGACGGAGCAAUACCGCGUGAGGGAGGAAGGCUCUUGGGUUGUAAACCUCUUUUCUCAGGGAAGAACAAAAUGACGGUACCUGAGGAAUAAGCAUCGGCUAACUCCGUGCCAGCAGCCGCGGUAAUACGGAGGAUGCAAGCGUUAUCCGGAAUUAUUGGGCGUAAAGCGUCCGCAGGUGGCAAUUCAAGUCUGCUGUCAAAGGUUCUGGCUCAACCAGAGACAGGCAGUGGAAACUGAAUAGCUAGAGUGCGGUAGGGGCAGAGGGAAUUCCCAGUGUAGCGGUGAAAUGCGUAGAGAUUGGGAAGAACACCGGUGGCGAAAGCGCUCUGCUAGGCCGUAACUGACACUCAUGGACGAAAGCUAGGGGAGCGAAAGGGAUUAGAUACCCCUG
rnacentral:rRNA from 1 species